UUCACAUAAAAACACAUCACUGAUAACUCUGCCUAACAGUUUCCUUUAUAUGCUGCCUGGUUCUGACAUAUCACAUUCAAGUGACUCAGACUUUAAAGAUGUCUUUCUUAAAUAAGGGAGUUAAUUUAAACACAAGCAACCUCGUGCAGCAAGGAAAAGAGGCGGCCCAGGACUCAGCCAACCAGUGUGUGCAGGAAGGUCAGAAAAUUGCUCAAGAAGUUGUAGACAAAGGAUGCCAAGUUGCUAAGGAUGCUGGAGGGAAGGCAGUCGAUCAACUGAAAGGUGGAAUCAAAAAUAAGUGAAGACCUGACCAGAUGACUGUCAAUGUAUCCAAAUAUAUUCUCUUUAAUAAUGAUUACUUAUAUAAAUUUUAACAAAUCAAAUCUAUUAUGUCCCAAUAACAAAAUGCAAUAAAAGAUUGUUGGAUAACUGAAA